GUGUUAACCCUCCUUGACAGCUGUCCUGUUGUAGUCUACCUGCUUCUGAAACCUCAGCUGCGUGUCUGCAGGAUGCUGGGGUGUGGAGCUGUGCAUGUGCUCGUCGCACGGAGCAGACCAUCACAAUGGUGAAGAUGACCUUUGCAUGGAUUAGUGUAGAUAUUUAAUAACCGGGAUAUUACAAAAACAGGUCAUCAGAAAUGGCAGGCGAGAGCAG